GACAGAGGGUGCAAACGUUGCUCGGAAUCACUGGGCGUAAAGGGCGUGUAGGCGGGAAGGAAAGUCAGAUGUGAAAUCCCUGGGCUCAACCCAGGAACUGCAUUUGAAACUCCCUUUCUUGAGUGUCGGAGAGGAAAGUGGAAUUCCUGGUGUAGAGGUGAAAUUCGUAGAUAUCAGGAGGAACACCGGUGGCGAAGGCGGCUUUCUGGACGACAACUGACGCUGAGACGCGAAAGCGUGGGGAGCGAACAGG
rnacentral:rRNA from 1 species